UACGGAGGGUGCGAGCGUUGUCCGGAAUCACUGGGCGUAAAGGGCGCGUAGGCGGCGCGGAUAGUCGGCGGUGAAAGCCCGGAGCUCAACUCCGGGUCGGCCGUCGAUACUUCCGGGCUUGAGCACUGUAGAGGCAGAUGGAAUUCCGGGUGUAGCGGUGGAAUGCGUAGAGAUCCGGAAGAACACCCGUGGCGAAGGCGGCUCUCUGGAACGCAACUGACGCUGAGACGCGAAAGCGUGGGGAGCAAACAGG
rnacentral:rRNA from 1 species